UACGUAGGGUGCGAGCGUUGCCCGGAUUUAUUGGGCGUAAAGGGCGCGUAGGCGGCCACGCACGUCCGUUGUGAAAUCGCUCGGCUCAACUGGGCGGGGUCAGCGGAUACGGAGUGGCUGGAGCAAGGCUAGGGGGCAAUGGAAUUCCCGGUGUAGUGGUGGAAUGCGUAGAUAUCGGGAGGAACACCAGUGGCGAAGGCGGUUGCCUGGAGCUUUGCUGACGCUGAUGCGCGAAAGCGUGGGGAGCGAUCCGG
rnacentral:rRNA from 1 species